rnacentral:miRNA from 37 species
CAACGGAAUCCCAAAAGCAGCUG